CGUGGUGAAGCUAAACGGUCUAGCCCUCGCUCGAUAAGCGAGAGUAAGUAGGUUCGACUCCUAUCACCACGACCA
rnacentral:tRNA from 1 species